AUGAGAUAAAAUUAUAUUGUGUAAAAAACUACCAAAAUGGUUUCUUCUGAUUUUACAGAACUAAGAUUAUCCACGCCAUUUAAAUAGCGCCUUUCAGCAGUAAUUAAUAUUUGUUUUUUUUUUCACCAUAAUGGUUUGAAGUUUACUUAGUUUGUCUAACGAUGCUCUCAAUGCAAAUGUUAAUUAUUGAGAUGCCUUUUCACUGGUAAGGGUUCAAUUUUAACAUGAAAAUCAUAUAUGCAUUUGUGAUUUUAGCUCUGCAAUAUAUAACUU